rnacentral:ncRNA from 1 species
CAUCCAUCGAGACCGGCGGAGGGGCAGGCCCUUUGAUGCCGGGGCAACCUGAUGGGAUCCGCGCGUCGCGCGGCGUCCAUCGCGGUGCCAAGUCCUGCGGGGACCUGUGUGUCCACCGGAAGAUGGUGA